GGUUGACUGUCCCUGCUCCCAGAGAAAGGCAAGGCCAGGCAAAACUCUCGCUGUCCACUAUGAUAAAAAGGGCUGAGAGGACCUGUGACGAAUGACAAUGCCCCUGUCUGUAGAUAUCUUCAUCACUAACAAGGAGCCCCAGAUGACCCCAAGGAAGGUGUUAGGGCAGGUAGAUGCUGCUGCAUGGAAUGAUGACACUCCUGGGAGAGCAAAAUAGGCAACACCAGUGGUUUUAAAGUUAAAAGAUCCAAG
rnacentral:lncRNA from 1 species